rnacentral:rRNA from 1 species
GGAUGCGAUCAUACCAGCUCUAACGCACCGGAUCCCAUCAGAACUCCGAAGUUAAGCGUGCUUGGGCGAGAGUAGUACUAGGAUGGGUGACCCCCUGGGAAGUCCUCGUGUUGCAUCCC